CCUACGGGAGGCAGCAGUGGGGAAUAUUGGGCAAUGGGCGCAAGCCUGACCCAGCAACGCCGCGUGAAGGAAGAAGGCUUUCGGGUUGUAAACUUCUUUUCUCAGGGACGAAGCAAGUGACGGUACCUGAGGAAUAAGCCACGGCUAACUACGUGCCAGCAGCCGCGGUAAUACGUAGGUGGCAAGCGUUAUCCGGAUUUACUGGGUGUAAAGGGCGUGUAGGCGGGAAAGCAAGUCAGCUGUGAAAACCAUGGGCUCAACCUGUGGCCUGCAUUUGAAACUGUUUUUCUUGAGUACUGGAGAGGCAGACGGAAUUCCUAGUGUAGCGGUGAAAUGCGUAGAGAUUAGGAGGAAGACCAGUGGCGAAGGCGGUCUGCUGGACAGCAACUGACGCUGAGGCGCGAAAGCGUGGGGAGCAAACAGGAUUAGAUACCCGAGUAGUC
rnacentral:rRNA from 1 species